rnacentral:rRNA from 1 species
CAGCAGCCGCGGAAAUACGAACCGUGCGAACGUUAUUCGGAAUUACUGGGCUUAAAGCGCGUGUAGGCGGCUCGGCACGUCGGACGUUGAAAGCCCCCGGCUCAACCGGGGAAGGGGCGCCGAUACGGCCGAGCUGGAGGGAGGUAGGGGGUCUGGAACUUCCGGUGGAGCGGUGAAAUGCGUUGAGAUCGGAAGGAACGCCCGUGGCGAAAGCGAGGCCCUGGACCUUUUCUGACGCUGAGACGCGAAAGCCAGGGGAGCGAACGGGAUUAGAUACCCCCGUAGUCCCUGUCUCUUAUAC